UUUAUCACAAAAGGAAACGCAACCUAUAGAUUAAUUACACACAGAUGGAUGUUUGAAAGCCUUUAUUUUUGUUAAUCAUGAUAAUUUUCCACUUGCAGCAAAUUGAAACAUGACAUUUAAAAUUGGAAUGUUACGUCAGACAAACUGUUUAAAAAUAGAAACGUGGGCUCAGUAAAAAGUAUUUUUCAUAAAGGUUUCAAGCCGACAAAACAAGACUCACCUGAAUGCAUAUUCUAAUUUAUUGACUAUGGAUUAGUGAAUUUGCGUUCUCUGAUUUGUAGUUCUGGCUGUGAUGGGACUACAAACCCCAAAAUGAAGGGAAACAGUGAAGAUCUUCAGCUUUCUGCUCCCAUUGCUGAGUUUCUGUAUGUCCAGGCAAUUAAAAUUAAAACUUGUUAUUCACAACUACCACAUUCUACAGAGGAAAAUUUAUAUCUACAGGAACUUUGCUUAAAAAAAAACUAGACUUGUAAUUGUUGUCCAAAACACACAUAAUGUAGUAAUAAAGCCUUUAAUUUAACAUAGACUCCCUGAAUAGGGGAACAUCUCCUGUUUUUCCUCUGUGGAUAAUUUAUUAUACAAGAACCAGAAAAGCUGCAAAAAUUGAUAUCCAGCUGAGAAAUCACUUUUUUUCCUUUACAGUUCUUUCCUCUUUUUCCUCCAUGUGCGCCGAUGACAAAUCAGUGUAUUAUCCCCUUCAUCUGUGUGACAGAACACUGAGGUUCAGCUGAGCCAAAUAUAUAUUAUGACUACAGGCAUGUGUGUGGCCAGAAGUAUCUGAGCACAUUCAUUUGUCUUCAUGCUUCCACUAAAAGCAAGGCUACGAAAGAUUCCAACGCAAAACCGUGGAUGAAGAAAAGAAAGAAUCCGUAGGAGUCGGAGAUCAUGAUCGCACCGAUUCGGAACGGGGCCGCGAGCCCGGCCAUCUGGAAGAGGUCUCUCAUUUCUGCAAACAUUCUUCCUACGGAGAGGAACACAAGUCUCGGGCACACAACCGCUGCCCACAGCGCCGAGAGGGAGAGGCGGCGCUCCUACUGGACCUGCUACUGUCUAAACUGGGAGAGGAUAUCCACAGGAAAGCAAUAAACUAGCAGAGGGUUGUUAGCCUUAAGAGCUUGGCCUGCCAUCAACCUCUUCCUGUUUCUUCCACACGCUAGCUUUUUUUUUCUUUUUCUUAUCUGUAGCCUUGUUUCACUGGGUUUUUUCAGAGGCGAGCACACAAAAGAACUCUCUGGCUUUUAGAUGACGCACAACAAAGGGAUGCACUCCAACAUCGCUGCAGGAGGAGUUGUAUGAAUGUUUCUGUUUGCUGCUUCGUCUCUUCAGACAUCAUCUAAGGCGAACGGGCUCUGUGUUUGGAAAUUAGGUUACCCAAGAUAAAGAUACCACAAGAUAAAUUGAACAUAAUGUCGAUGCAUGUUCAAAUAAAUGAAGCUAAUUCUGAAGAUGG